rnacentral:rRNA from 1 species
GCAUAUCAAUAAGCGGAGGAAAAGAAACCAACAGGGAUUGCCCUAGUAACGGCGAGUGAAGCGGCAACAGCUCAAAUUUGAAAUCUGGCUCUUUUAGGGUCCGAGUUGUAAUUUGCAGAGGGCGCUUUGGCGUUGGCAGCGGUCCAAGUUCCUUGGAACAGGACGUCACAGAGGGUGAGAAUCCCGUACGUGGUCGCUGGCCUUCGCCGUGUAAAGCCCCUUCGACGAGUCGAGUUGUUUGGGAAUGCAGCUCUAAAUGGGAGGUAAAUUUCUUCUAAAGCUAAAUACUGGCCAGAGACCGAUAGCGCACAAGUAGAGUGAUCGAAAGAUGAAAAGCACUUUGGAAAGAGAGUCAAAUAGCACGUGAAAUUGUUGAAAGGGAAGCGCUUGCAGCCAGACUUGCCUGUAGUUGCUCAUCCGGGCUUUUGCCCGGUGCACUCUUCUGCGGGCAGGCCAGCAUCAGUUUGGGCGGUUGGAUAAAGGUCUCUGUCGUGUACCUCUCUUCGGGGAGGCCGUAUAGGGGAGGCGUCAUACAACCAGCCUGGACUGAGGUCCGCGCAUUUUGCUAGGAUGCUGGCGUAAUGGCUGUAAGCGGCCCGUCUUGAAACACGGACCAAGGAGUCUAACAUCUAUGCGAGUGUUUGGGUGUCAAGCCCGAACGCGUAAUGAAAGUGAACGGAGGUGGGAACCCUUACGGGUGCACCAUCGACCGAUCCUGAUGUCUUCGGAUGGAUUUGAGUAAGAGCAUGGCUGUUGGGACCCGAAAGAUGGUGAACUAUGCUUGAAUAGGGUGAAGCCAGAGGAAACUCUGGUGGAGGCUCGCAGCGGUUCUGACGUGCAAAUCGAUCGUCAAAUUUGGGCAUAGGGGCGAAAGACUAAUCGAACUAUCUAGUAGCUGGUUCUGCGA